UACAGAGACCUCAAGCGUUAUCCGGAAUCAUUGGGCGUAAAGCGUACCGAUAGGUGGUUUUGGUAGUUUUUGGGUAAAAAGCCAGAAGCUCAACUUCUGCGUUUGCUCAAAAUACUCCAAGACUAGAGGGACAAAGAGGUGGCUGGAACGAAUGGUGUAGUAGUGAAAUGCGUUGAUAUCAUUCGGAACACCGAAAGCGAAGGCAGGCCACUGGGUGUCACCUGACACUGCUAGGACGAAAGCGUGGGGAGCGAAUGGG
rnacentral:rRNA from 1 species